UGCGAGGCAAAACCAUCGCACUCUCCUCCUCCUCCUCCCCCUCCCUUCGCCGUCAAAUACUUGAGCAUGAUUCAUACUCAUCGGAAGAAAUCGAGAGAGGGCGCUGACAUUUUUUCCCUCUCAGUCUCUCUCUUCGACCGUCGAGGCUUCGACGACCCUCGCUCUCAUCGACGGUAACUCGGUGACGGACUGCAGUCGAAUAGUUGAUCGAUCUGUCUGGGUUUUUACUUUCUGGGUUUUCAAUCAAUCUCUCAAGUGUUCGAAUAGCCUCGAACUCUUGGUUGCUCUCUUCCUCAAGCAGCAAAGCAGAAAUUCUUGGUUGCUUUCCGGUUCGAUUUCUGAGUUAUGGAAUUGAUCAAGUUGUUUUGGACGUUAGUUACUGAUUGAAAUUGAAUUGUAUUGUAUAUUUAUAUUGCAUCUGUUUUGAAAUUUGGCAUCAGUUUUGCCAGUUUUGAUGGGAAUUGAAUUGCAUCUGUCUUGGUAUUUGGAUGGAAAUUGAAAUUGUAUCUGAUAUGAAAUUGUUUAGGUGGAGGUGGAAACAAAUUGGUGAUUUCCCAAAGGGGGUUCUGGAAAGCAUUGUGGGGAUUAAACUCAUUAAAGCAUCCAAGGGAUCACAGGAGCCACAAGCUCAGCCACGUCCCGAGGAUGCUCCAGCACAGCAGUCCUAUUAUCCUCACUCUGUUAACUCCCCGAGCUCUUCUCGUCCUUUAACUCCGAGUUGAACCUCUUCUUCUUCCAAUUUGAGUUCUAGGGGUAACUCCCCGUCACCUGUUUCUCCCACUGAAGUUGCUGGUGUUAUUGCUUCUUUGAAGGACAAAAGCGAGACCUAUCAGUACUAUGAUUUGUCUUUCUGCCUUCCAGAUCCAGUAAUUCAAAAGAAAGAAUCCAUUGGGGAAGUUUUUUGUGUGGUGAUCGUUUGACCAACAACUUAUAUCAGUUGAAUUUCCGGCAGAACAAAAAUGAGGAGAGACUGUGCCAGAAGAAGCUUAGAGUUUCUGAAGUUCGGAAGUUCAGGGAUGCUAUCCUUAUUUUGUGUAAUAGUAAAACAUAAUAUGCAUAUUGAAGAGUUUAAAGUAAAUCUUUUAUUCGGUCCAACCAAGGGUACAAGAAUAAUACAUGAGAAAUAUAGUUACAUAAUCAAAAAACAAAAUUAUGUAUUUUAGUAGCA